rnacentral:rRNA from 1 species
UGAUCCUGGCUCAGGACGAACGCUGGCGGCGUGCUUAACACAUGCAAGUCGAACGAGAAUCUACUGAAAGAGUUUUCGGACAAUGGAUGUAGAGGAAAGUGGCGGACGGGUGAGUAACGCGUGAGGAACCUGCCUUGAAGAGGGGGACAACAGUUGGAAACGACUGCUAAUACCGCAUGACGCAUAGAGGUCGCAUGAUCUUUAUGCCAAAGAUUUAUCGCUUCAAGAUGGCCUCGCGUCUGAUUAGCUGGUUGGCGGGGUAACGGCCCACCAAGGCGACGAUCAGUAGCCGGACUGAGAGGUUGAACGGCCACAUUGGGACUGAGAUACGGCCCAGACUCCUACGGGAGGCAGCAGUGGGGAAUAUUGGGCAAUGGGCGCAAGCCUGACCCAGCAACGCCGCGUGAAGGAAGAAGGCUUUCGGGUUGUAAACUUCUUUUAAGAGGGAAGAGCAGAAGACGGUACCUCUAGAAUAAGCCACGGCUAACUACGUGCCAGCAGCCGCGGUAAUACGUAGGUGGCAAGCGUUGUCCGGAUUUACUGGGUGUAAAGGGCGUGCAGCCGGGUCUGCAAGUCAGAUGUGAAAUCCAUGGGCUCAACCCAUGAACUGCAUUUGAAACUGUAGAUCUUGAGUGUCGGAGGGGCAAUCGGAAUUCCUAGUGUAGCGGUGAAAUGCGUAGAUAUUAGGAGGAACACCAGUGGCGAAGGCGGAUUGCUGGACGAUAACUGACGGUGAGGCGCGAAAGUGUGGGGAGCAAACAGGAUUAGAUACCCUGGUAGUCCACACUGUAAACGAUGAAUACUAGGUGUGCGGGGACUGACCCCCUGCGUGCCGCAGUAAACACAAUAAGUAUUCCACCUGGGGAGUACGAUCGCAAGGUUGAAACUCAAAGGAAUUGACGGGGGCCCGCACAAGCGGUGGAUUAUGUGGUUUAAUUCGAAGCAACGCGAAGAACCUUACCAGGGUUUGACAUCCUGCUAACGAAGUAGAGAUACAUUAGGUGCCCUUCGGGGAAAGCAGAGACAGGUGGUGCAUGGUUGUCGUCAGCUCGUGUCGUGAGAUGUUGGGUUAAGU